rnacentral:lncRNA from 1 species
CAGGAAUGUUCUGUCCUUCCCAAAUAGGAAGAAACACUUGGAAAUAACACGGGAUUCUGGGCUCAACAAUACGGAGGGCAGAGGCUGCUGUGGAGUUCAAGGAAAAGCAAAGGGCUUAAGUUCUCUGCGAGGUUUGCUCUGGAAGGGCUGGCGGAAAGGAUUCGGGAGGUGCCCUCGCUGAUCCCCACGGCAUCCCUUGUUCGGGGCAGGAAUGCCGAGUGCGUCCCUGGCCCUGCUCCUCCCUGGAUCCCAGCUUUGGGAAGGAGCCCUUGAGCUCUGACGUGGAGCCAGAUUUGUUUUCUCAGUGUGAUCCAGCCGCGUGUCGGAAUCCACUCCAGUGGCAGACAGGAACGGGACAUCAGGACACUCUGCUGGUUGGAUUUCUCUUGCACUUGAGGUUUUAUUAUCUCCUGUGACCUAAAAACCAGCCUUUUAUUAAAAAAAGAGAGGGAAUGUGUUCCCAGAGGGUCUGUGUUGAUG